rnacentral:siRNA from 1 species
UAGCCAGGUUGCAAAUUAAAUCGC